GUUCCGCUCGAUUAACUGGAUAAAUCCUCCGCCUCCUAGGCGGAAGCUACAGGUUCGAGUCCUGUGCGGAACGCCA
rnacentral:tRNA from 1 species